GAUGAACGCUGGCGGCGUGCCUAAUACAUGCAAGUCGAGCGAACAGACGAGGAGCUUGCUCCUCUGACGUUAGCGGCGGACGGGUGAGUAACACGUGGAUAACCUACCUAUAAGACUGGGAUAACUUCGGGAAACCGGAGCUAAUACCGGAUAAUAUAUUGAACCGCAUGGUUCAAUAGUGAAAGACGGUUUUGCUGUCACUUAUAGAUGGAUCCGCGCCGCAUUAGCUAGUUGGUAAGGUAACGGCUUACCAAGGCAACGAUGCGUAGCCGACCUGAGAGGGUGAUCGGCCACACUGGAACUGAGACACGGUCCAGACUCCUACGGGAGGCAGCAGUAGGGAAUCUUCCGCAAUGGGAGAAAGCCUGACGGAGUAACGCCGCGUGAGUGAUGAAGGUCUUCGGAUCGUAAAACUCUGUUAUUAGGGAAGAACAAAUGUGUAAGUAACUAUGCACGUCUUGACGGUACCUAAUCAGAAAGCCACGGCUAACUACGUG
rnacentral:rRNA from 1 species